GAGUUUGAUCCUGGCUCAGGACUAACGCUAACGGUGUGCUUAAUACAUGCAAGUCGAACGAGCAAUGUGAGAGUGGCAACACUCCUGCAAAGCUAGUGGCGAACGGGUGAGUAACGCGUAGGUAAUCUACCUUGAAGAUUAGGAUAACCUUCCGAAAGGAAGGCUAAUACUAAAUAUUUUAUGUUUUUCGUAUGAUUAAUAUAACAAAGGUAGCCGCAAGGCCUCCGCUUUAAGAUGAACCUGCGUCCUAUUAGCUUGUUGGUAAGGUAAUGGCUUACCAAGGCUAUGAUGGGUAGCCGGCCUGAGAGGGUGAUCGGCCACACUGGGACUGAGAUACGGCCCAGACUCCUACGGGAGGCAGCAGUAGGGAAUAUUGCGCAAUGGGCGAAAGCCUGACGCAGCGACACCGUGUGAAGGAUGAAGGUCUUCGGAUCGUAAACUUCUGUCAAUCGGGGACGAAGGUAAUAAGGUUAAUAGCCUUUAUUAUUGACGGUACCCAAUAAGGAAGUCUCGGCUAACUCCGUGCCAGCAGCCGCGGUAAGACGGAGGAGGCAAGCGUUGUCCGGAAUCAUUGGGCGUAAAGAGCGCGUAGGCGGUUUUUCAAGUCGUAUGUGAAAACUUCAGGCUUAACCUGAUGAUUGCAUAUGAAACUGGAUAACUUGAGUACAGCAGAGGAAAGUGGAAUUCCUGGUGUAGCGGUGAAAUGUGCAGAUAUCAGGAAGAACACCGGUAGCGAAGGCGGCUUUCUGGGCUGUUACUGACGCUGAGGCGCGAAAGCUAGGGGAGCAAACAGGAUUAGAUACCCUGGUAGUCCUAGCCGUAAACGAUGGACACUAGGUGUGGGAAGUUAUCGACGCUUUCUGUGCCGAAGCUAACGCAUUAAGUGUCCCGCCUGGGGAGUACGGCCGCAAGGCUAAAACUCAAAGGAAUUGACGGGGGCCCGCACAAGCGGCGGAGCAUGUGGCUUAAUUCGACGCAACGCGAAGAACCUUACCAAGGCUUGACAUCAUAUUGACGGUUGUAAAAAUACAACUUCUCUUCGGAGCAAUAUGACAGGUGGUGCAUGGCUGUCGUCAGCUCGUGUCGUGAGAU
rnacentral:rRNA from 1 species